rnacentral:lncRNA from 1 species
UGUUUAGGGUACGUAGGUAGUCUAAUGAGACAUUAGAUGCAGCCAUAUAAGAAAUGAGAUUAAAUAAUCGAGACAAUAGCCUUGUUUAAGGAAUUGAGCAAUGUGAGGGAUAUUGGUGAAAAAUGUGCGUUUUAACUUUAUGUUUUGGUGAUUAGUAGUUAGUACACCGUAUUAUAUAAUUGGAAAUAUUAUGAAAUGUUUUAAUUUUAGAUUUUAUCAUGGCAUAUCCAUACGUAUAUUUCUUGCACAUAAUUAUUGUGAAUGCUUUGAAGUGCAAAGGUGCAAGACACACAGGUAAGUUCAGGUAAGUUCAAGUAAGUAUACAGUAUUAUUAGUUGAAUUGAUGGGGUUAUGAUAUGACUACAUUUACAUUUUAGCAACUCCGACACAGUCGUACAGGUUGCAAUAGUAGGCAACUCCGGCAUUGUCGUACAGGUUGCCUAUGAAUCGUACAUGUUGUAUUAGAUGCAUUUAAAGCUCAUAAACCUGCACCCUGGGUGAUUGUGAUUUAGCCAGAGAUAUGGUACAUGCAUGUUUAUAAUGUCGCAUCAUGCACCCUAUGCUCACAUUGGAUCCAAUUUAGGUGCACAGUCUUGUCGUACAAACCACCAUAGGUGGUUCCAAUUUUGGCCUGAGACCACAACGAAGUUGUUUAGUCUUUCCGCAUAAUUCAUUGUUUGUUUGACUCUCUGAUAUUCUAGUAUGCCCCUGUUACGUUUAUACCCCCAGUUUCACCUCCUAGUAUUAAAGGUAAUUGGGUUGAUUUAGAGGCACCAACCUAUUUCCCAUAUCAUUUUGGAUAGGGACAAACUGUCCAAGAGGACCACUUAGUCUAUAUAUCUUGUACUCUAGAUUUCAUGAACUUGUUUUGACCCUCAAUUUCUUGAGUGUUCUUUUAACCGUCUCGACAUGAUUUUUUUUGCUCAAUUAAUGAACAAUUCAUGGGGUUUUGCUCAAUUAGUGAAGAAUUCAUGGGGUAGAUUGUGACAACCCAUCCCAAAUUUUUAUGUUUUUACAAAUAUUAAAAGUGUAAUUUUAUGAAAAUGCCUUUAGAGGUGAGGGUUUUGACUUCUGUUGACAACGUAUAGCGAGGUGUAUGAAUUAAUCCAUUAGCGUUUUCUUGAAGUACUUUUGGUUUGGUCACUAUUUAUAUAUUUUUACAUAUUUUUUCAAAUGUAUUUAUUUUAUUUAUCAUUUAGUGAUUUUGAAAAGAGUUGGAAAAAGAAAGAAAGAAGAAAUAGAGAAAAGAAACUGGGCAGAACUUCCCAAUCGGGAAAAAGAGAGAGGAAGAGAACAGGAGGGACCGGGAGAGAGUGCAGCGAAUCAGGAGAAGAGAGAAGGAGAUGAUGGCUAAUUAGAAAGAAUGAAAGGAGAGGAAAGGAGAGAGGAAGGAGAAGAAGAAACAGGUUGACCCCUGCACACCCGCGGACCCAUUGAGAUUCCGUCAUUUUUCUGACAUUUUUCCGGCAAAUCAAAGCAAACCACCACCUAGAAACAACUUCAUAGCCUUCCCUCUUCCAUUUCCAUUCAAAAUUAGAAGGAAAUUGGUGGUAAUUUAUUCAAAAACCGAAGGUGGGUGCCGUGAGACCCUUGCUCGAAAUCCACCACUUGUGAAACAUUUUCCUACAAUUACCACUACCAUUAGACUUCCCUAGAAUCCAGGAACAAAGCCCAGGCAGUGGUGGAGGCGUCGAAGCAAGUUUGGAGGUUGAAUUAAAUCACACCCAAUUCUAAGGUUUCGUACAGUUUUAGCAAAAUUGGAUCCUUUCUAGGCUAAAUUGGACUUGGCCACAGGUAUAAAGUUUACUCUACUCUUUGAGAUCUUCAAUUAUGUAAUUUUUGAGAAUUUUUA